rnacentral:rRNA from 1 species
CCCUUAGAUGUCCUGGGCCGCACGCGCGCUACACUGACAUGUUCAACAAGCCUCCUAGUUCGACAGGAUUUGGGAAAUCUUUGAACGCAUGUCGUGAUAGGGAUAGAUCAUUGCAAUUAUUGAUCUUGAACGAGGAAUUCCUAGUAAACGCGAGUCAUCAGCUCGCAUUGAUUACGUCCCUGCCCUUUGUACACACCGCCCGUCGCACCUACCGAUUGAAUGUUUCGGUGAAGAUUCCGGAUAGGACUUUUUUGAUUUAUUUCAAUUCUGUCUUAAAAGCUAUCUAAACCUCAACAUUUAGAGGAAGGUGAAGGCGUAACA